CUGCUUUUAAAUAAAUGAAAACGUUUUCAUUCUUUAUAAAUUUUUCCUGCUUCCACCAUAAGUGCCAACAACAGUACGCAAGCUGUCAGUAUCUCCAUUAAAAAAAUACAACAGAAAGUGGUUUAAAAAGUUUUAUUAAGGAAAUGAUGAGCUGAAUUAGAGCCAGAAUUGUGACUUGGAUGUGAUUGGUUACUAAUUUCCAUAGUUUGGUCAUCCUUCGCUUUCCCACAGAUAACUGCGCUGUAUAGAGACCCCAAGAAGAUUGAGCAGUGAUUUGAACAUCUUUUAUUGAGGGAACCUUGACCUAACCAAGCUAUGACCUCUUUCUUCAUAACAAAAUAAUUUCCUCCAUGUGUAUUAAAGUAUACAAAUUAUGUACUGAAAGAGGAUGGAGGCUAUUCCUAUCAACAAAUCAAAUUACCCAGCAGGGCUACCUUUCUUAUAAGUAUCUUUCUGUAUCCUGGAGCUCAUUUAUCUUACUGUGGUAUUCUUCUGCAAAGCACAACAGUAAAAGAUGAAUAGACCAGUUAUGGAUGACUCAACUUUUCCCAUUAAUCAGAAACUUCAAUUGACUCAGUUGAUUGCUGACAGCUAUUUUCUGAAUAUUUACAGAAGGCAGUGAAUGGAUGACCCACAGAAAUAUUAUUAUGAGAAGAUGCCACAUAAAAAUUCAGUAGACCAUGAAGAGUUUACUGUACUUAGCAAAAAAUAUAACAUUCCCAGGGCUUUAUCCUUGCCAGUGAUGAAAUAGUAAGCCUUUAUGCCUAAAAUGCUGGCAUUCCAGAAAGAUGGAUGUCUUCUUUCAAAGUUCUCCUGAACAAGCCAUGAAGAACAGCAUUAGCUGACCCUAAGGGUACGGUUGACUUUGCUACACAGAGCAGCAAGAGUGACCUUAAUUCCAUAUCCAUCAAUGAGAUUUAUGAUCUGCUUAUAAAAGGCAAAAAGCAGAAAAUACAUUAAAUGCUAAUAGAAUCCACAGUAAAAACUUUACAAGGAAUAUACAUAUGCAUGCACAUAUGCACACAUACACGAACAUGGAUAUAUUUUGAUUGUUGCUUUGCCAGAAAGAUAUGCAGAAGGACCUUCAAUGUGUGACUCUUGAUUCAAAAAAGGCUGAAAAUGAUGAAGAU
rnacentral:lncRNA from 1 species